UAGAUCUUGAUUUUUCUCUUAAGAAGAGAAAGGUAAAAAAAAAAUCAAAUGUGAUCUGAUUUCAUCAUCUUCCUAUAGAUCUAUUUGAUUCUCUUAAGAAGAGAAUCAAAAGAUCAAACUGAUUCGACAAUCCAGGGAGCGAUCUCUGUAAGGAAGCUAGCAUCCCAAUGAGAUUGAGACCUUCUGAUCAGAUUAGUCUUGGUGCAUAUCUGUAAAGGUCAAAAAUUUAUGCAGCUAUGAUGGAACCUCGAAGACAUCCAUGAACCAUUGGAUCGUGGUGA
rnacentral:lncRNA from 1 species